rnacentral:piRNA from 1 species
UCUCAACCUUCCUCAAGCUGCAACACUUU